rnacentral:piRNA from 1 species
UCUCUGCCCAAAGUGGAAGGUGACCU